UACGAAGGGGGCUAGCGUUGUUCGGAAUUACUGGGCGUAAAGCGCACGUAGGCGGACAUUUAAGUCAGGGGUGAAAUCCCAGAGCUCAACUCUGGAACUGCCUUUGAUACUGGGUGUCUUGAGUAUGGAAGAGGUGAGUGGAAUUCCGAGUGUAGAGGUGAAGUUCGUAGAUAUUCGGAGGAACACCAGUGGGCGAAAGGCGGCUCACUGGUCCAUUACUGACGCUGAGGUGCGAAAG
rnacentral:rRNA from 1 species